GACGGGGGCCCGCACAAGCGGUGGAGUAUGUGGUUUAAUUCGACGCAACGCGAAGAACCUUACCAGGCCUUGACAUCCCUUGCGAAGUCUUAGAGAUAAGACAGAGGUUAUCAAGGUGACAGGUGGUGCAUGGUUGUCGUCAGCUCGUGUCGUGAGAUGUUGGGUUAAGUCCCGCAACGAGCGCAACCCUUGUCUUCAGUUACCAAUAUUAAGUUAGGGACUCUGGAGAGACUGCCGGUGAUAAACCGGAGGAAGGUGGGGAUGACGUCAAAUCAUCAUGCCCCUUAUGGCCUGGGCUACACACGUACUACAAUGGCUGUUACAACGAGCAGCAACAUGGCGACAUGAAGCGAAUCUCUGAAAGACAGUCUCAGUUCGGAUUGGAGUCUGCAACUCGACUCCAUGAAGUUGGAAUCGCUAGUAAUCGCGGAUCAGCAUGCCGCGGUGAAUACGUUCUCGGGCCUUGUACACACCGCCCGUCAUACCAUGAGAGCUGGCAAUACCCGAAGCCGGUGGCCUAACCCGCAAGGGAGGGAGCCGUCGAAGGUGGGGCUAGUGAUUGGGGUCAAGCCGUAACAAGGUAGCCCUACGAAAAC
rnacentral:rRNA from 1 species